CUUCCUUUCUCGUGAACCAAUUCCCAUUAUUCUUCAAGAACAUACCUUGUUUAACUCUGCAAGUUCGAUCUUCCUUUCCUUCUUCCUCUUGGGCUGGGAUGUGGGAGUCUUGGUCUGGAAUGUGGGAGUCGAGGGAAGAAGAGGGUCUUCUGCCCGGUGAUGAGGACGGCGGCGGCACGGCGAAUUUCAGAACGCCGUUGCUCGGCCGGCCGCGAGGAAGAAAGGGGAGUCGGCUGGCAGCAGGACUGCUGUGGUAGAGUCGCUGCCUAGGUGGCUGACCACCACACGCAGAGGGAGAAGUGAUGGAGCGGGCUGGGCCGUGAGAGGGAGCGCUGGAGGAUGGCGGCGGCGCGGCCGGAGGCCAGGCGCGCUGCCCGCUGUGAAAACAGCAGCGGCGGCGGCAACCUUCCUCGGCCGUCCGCUGCAGAUGACGCAAGGGAGAAGGAGGGUGGGGAGCGCGAGGUGGCUGGUGGCUGACGGCGACGGCCAGGGCGGCGCGGCCUAAGGCCGAGCGCCGCUGACGCGGCGGAAAUGGAGCAGCAUCGGCGGCGGCCCUCCUUGACCGUCUGCUAUCGGGAGCGAGAGAAUGAAGGCGAUGAGAGGGAGGCCCCGGAUCCGGCGAUUUCGCCGGAGCUGGAGGCGGCCGGCGUGGAGCUCGGGAGGGAAGGCGGAGGUUCUGGAGAAAAGGGGGGCGAGGCGAGAGAGGGAGAGAGAAGCGUGAGUAGAGAGAGAGGAAGAUUGACUUGUUUUAUUUUAAUUACCUUUAGGUUUAUUUAAGCUUUGUUUGGGCCUCAUUUCAUAAUAAUUUGAUGGGCUUUUUCUUUGACAUGGGCCGAUUCUUAAUAGAGUACCGGGCCGAUUUUAAUUAUUUAAAUGGGCUACACUAUGUUUUAAAUUGAUUUUUGGGCUGC
rnacentral:lncRNA from 1 species